rnacentral:rRNA from 1 species
UGGGGGAUAUUGCACAAUGGGCGAAAGCCUGAUGCAGCGACGCCGCGUGGGGGAUGAAGGCUUUCGGGUUGUAAACCUCUUUCGCUAUCGAACAAGGCCCGCUUAGGGUGGGUUGAGGGUAGGUGGAGAAGAAGCGCCGGCUAACUACGUGCCAGCAGCCGCGGUAAUACGUAGGGCGCGAGCGUUGUCCGGAAUUAUUGGGCGUAAAGGGCUUGUAGGCGGCUUGUUGCGCCUGCUGUGAAAACGCGGGGCUUAACUUCGCGCGUGGAGUGGGUACGGGCAGGCGUGAGUGGGGUAGGGGUGACUGGAAUUCCAGGUGUAGCGGUGGAAUGCGCAGAUAUCUGGAGGAACACCGAUGGCGAAGGCAGGUCACUGGGCCAUUACUGACGCUGAGGAGCGAAAGCAUGGGUAGCGAACAGGA